rnacentral:lncRNA from 1 species
AAACAAGAAGAGGUUUUCAAUUGUGUAUCUUUUGAGAGAGAGAAAGAGUGAACAAUGAAAAAGUUUUAUGCUGAGAGUGAAAAAUGAAAAUUUUCAGAGAGAGAGGCGGUUUUUUUCACAUGUCAGGAAAUCAAAUUUUUACAUUUUCUCAAAGUUCUAUUUUUUUUGUUUUUUUCAAAAUGACAUGAGGGUGUGGCCAAUGAGAGAGCGUCGCAGAUGAGCUUUGUGAUUGGUCUCUCCCUUUCUUCAAUUUCUCAAUACCAAUACCAUACAUAUGAGAUAGUAAUUAGGAUUACUUGCAAUUU